rnacentral:rRNA from 1 species
GAUGAACGCUGGCGGCGUGCCUAAUACAUGCAAGUCGAGCGAACAGACGAGUAGCUUGCUCCUCUGACGUUAGCGGCGGACGGGUGAGUAACACGUGGAUAACCUACCUAUAAGACUGGGAUAACUUCGGGAAACCGGAGCUAAUACCGGAUAAUAUAUUGAACCGCAUGGUUCCAUAGUGAAAGACGGUUUUGCUGUCACUUAUAGAUGGAUCCGCGCCGCAUUAGCUAGUUGGUAAGGUAACGGCUUACCAAGGCAACGAUGCGUAGCCGACCUGAGAGGGUGAUCGGCCACACUGGAACUGAGACACGGUCCAGACUCCUACGGGAGGCAGCAGUAGGGAAUCUUCCGCAAUGGGCGAAAGCCUGACGGAGCAACGCCGCGUGAGUGAUGAAGGUCUUCGGAUCGUAAAACUCUGUUAUUAGGGAAGAACAAAUGUGUAAGUAACUAGGCACGUCUUGACGGUACCUAAUCAGAAAGCCACGGCUAACUACGUG